rnacentral:rRNA from 1 species
UAGGGAAUCUUCCGCAAUGGGCGAAAGCCUGACGGAGCAACGCCGCGUGAGUGAUGAAGGUCUUCGGAUCGUAAAACUCUGUUAUUAGGGAAGAACAUAUGUGUAAGUAACUGUGCACAUCUUGACGGUACCUAAUCAGAAAGCCACGGCUAACUACGUGCCAGCAGCCGCGGUAAUACGUAGGUGGCAAGCGUUAUCCGGAAUUAUUGGGCGUAAAGCGCGCGUAGGCGGUUUUUUAAGUCUGAUGUGAAAGCCCACGGCUCAACCGUGGAGGGUCAUUGGAAACUGGAAAACUUGAGUGCAGAAGAGGAAAGUGGAAUUCCAUGUGUAGCGGUGAAAUGCGCAGAGAUAUGGAGGAACACCAGUGGCGAAGGCGACUUUCUGGUCUGUAACUGACGCUGAUGUGCGAAAGCGUGGGGAGCAAACAGGAUUAGAUACCCUGGUAGUCCACGCCGUAAACGAUGAGUGCUAAGUGUUGGUCUCAUAAGAGAUCAGUGCUGCAGCUAACGCAUUAAGCACUCCGCCUGGGGAGUACGACCGCAAGGUUG